UGGAACGGGUAAUUUAGAUAGUCAAAAGUAAUAUCAAGUACUUAUAUACUACUAUGGACUCUUAAGAUGCCCGGAAAUACAUACCACGAUGGCUUGGGGACUUAGAUUUUAGGUCAGCACAUGCUGUCGAAUAAGGAUUUUGACCGUGCAGUUGUGUCUUCGAUUCUGGGCUGAUACAUGUUGGUCUUCCUAGGCUCGUGG